GGAUGUGAGGGCAAUCUGGCUGUGACAUCUGUCACCCCAUUGAUAGGCAGGGUUGAUUAGGCAGAUCUGGCUGGCUAGCUGGGUGCCCUCUUCCUCCCUCAACGCUCCAUGUGCAUCCGUCCCGAACAGCCACCACGGGGAACCGGGAUUCCCACGGAGCUGGAGCGCACUAAUGUUCAGAGGGACAGAGAGGCCUCCUACCCCAGGGAAGCCCUCCCGU
rnacentral:sRNA from 1 species